rnacentral:rRNA from 1 species
UGCAAGUCGAACGGCAGCGCGGGAGCAAUCCUGGCGGCGAGUGGCGAACGGGUGAGUAAUACAUCGGAACGUGUCCUGUAGUGGGGGAUAGCCCGGCGAAAGCCGGAUUAAUACCGCAUACGCUCUACGGAGGAAAGGGGGGGAUCUUAGGACCUCUCGCUACAGGGGCGGCCGAUGGCGGAUUAGCUAGUUGGUGGGGUAAAGGCCUACCAAGGCGACGAUCCGUAGCUGGUCUGAGAGGACGACCAGCCACACUGGGACUGAGACACGGCCCAGACUCCUACGGGAGGCAGCAGUGGGGAAUUUUGGACAAUGGGGGCAACCCUGAUCCAGCAAUGCCGCGUGUGUGAAGAAGGCCUUCGGGUUGUAAAGCACUUUUGUCCGGAAAGAAAUCAUCCUGGUUAAUACCUGGGGUGGAUGACGGUACCGGAAGAAUAAGCACCGGCUAACUACGUGCCAGCAGCCGCGGUAAUACGUAGGGUGCAAGCGUUAAUCGGAAUUACUGGGCGUAAAGCGUGCGCAGGCGGUUCGCUAAGACAGAUGUGAAAUCCCCGGGCUUAACCUGGGAACUGCAUUUGUGACUGGCGGGCUAGAGUAUGGCAGAGGGGGGUAGAAUUCCACGUGUAGCAGUGAAAUGCGUAAAGAUGUGGAGGAAUACCGAUGGCGAAGGCAGCCCCCUGGGCCAAUACUGACGCUCAUGCACGAAAGCGUGGGGAGCAAACAGGAUUAAAUACCCUGGUAGUCCACGCCCUAAACGAUGUCAACUAGUUGUCGGGUCUUCAUUGACUUGGUAACGUAGCUAACGCGUGAAGUUGACCGCCUGGGGAGUACGGUCGCAAG